AUAGGGAGUCGGACCUGCCCAGUGAAUAUUUUAAACGGCCGCGGUACUCUGACCGUGCAAAGGUAGCAUAAUCAUUUGCCCUAUAAUUGAGGGCUAGUAUGAAUGGUUUGACAAGAAUAGAGCUGUCUCUUUGCGGUUAUAUAAAAAUUUAUUUUUAGGUGAAGAAGCCUAUAUAGAAUUAAAAGACAAGAAGACCCUAUCGAGCUUUAAAUAAGUUAGUAAGUUUGAAAUAAAAUAUUAAAUUAGAAUGUUAUUUAUUAAAUAUUUUGGUUGGGGCGACAAAGGAACAAAUAAAGCUUCCAUUACACUCUUUAAACUAACCAGUUAUGAUCCAAUAAGUUUGAUUAAAGAAAUUAGUUACCGUAGGGAUAACAGCAUUAUCUUUUUUGAGAGCCCAUAUCGAAAAAAAGGUUUGUGACCUCGAUGUUGGACCAGAAUACCCCAAAGAUGCAGAAGUCUUUAAAGGUUGGUCUGUUCGACCAUUAAAAUUCUA
rnacentral:rRNA from 1 species